rnacentral:rRNA from 1 species
UACGUAGGGGGCAAGCGUUGUCCGGAUUCAUUGGGCGUAAAGAGCGUGUAGGCGGCCAGGUAGGUCGGUUGUGAAAACUGGAGGCUCAACCUUCAGAGGUCGACCGAAACCAUCUGGCUAGAGUCCGGGAGAGGAGAGUGGAAUUCCUGGUGUAGCGGUGAAAUGCGCAGAUAUCAGGAAGAACACCCGUGGCGAAAGCGGCUCUCUGGUACGGAACUGACGCUGAGACGCGAAAGCGUGGGGAGCGAACAGG